rnacentral:ncRNA from 2 species
GUACCUUAACACAGUAAUGUUAAACGUCUUGAGGAGCGGGGAAUCCGGUUUGAAUCCGGAGCGGAGCCGCCACUGUGAACCUGACGACGGGAUAAAAGCCACGGCAGUCACCUGCCCGGAAGGCGUCCCGCCGGUUGAAGGAAGCCAGGAUACCCACCACAAGAUGAGACACACG